rnacentral:rRNA from 1 species
AGCAUUCAGUUGGGCGACUCUAAGGAGGACGUGCCGGUGUCAAACCGGAGGAAGUGGGGAUGACGUCAAGUCCUCAUGGCCCUUAUGUCCAGGGCUACACACGUGCUACAAUGGCCGGUACAAAGGGGCGCAAGACCGCGAGGUGGAGACAAAUCCCAAAAAACCGGUCUCAGUUCGGAUUGGAGUCUGCAACUCGACUCCAUGAAGUUGGAAUCGCUAGUAAUCGCGUAUCAGCAUGACGCGGUCGAAUACGUUCCCGGGCCUU